rnacentral:rRNA from 1 species
AUACGUAGGUGGCGAGCGUUGUCCGGAAUUAUUGGGCGUAAAGAGCAUGUAGGCGGCUUAAUAAGUCGAGCGUGAAAAUGCGGGGCUCAACCCCGUAUGGCGCUGGAAACUGUUAGGCUUGAGUGCAGGAGAGGAAAGGGGAAUUCCCAGUGUAGCGGUGAAAUGCGUAGAUAUUGGGAGGAACACCAGUGGCGAAGGCGCCUUUCUGGACUGUGUCUGACGCUGAGAUGCGAAAGCCAGGGUAGCGAACGGGAUUAGAUACCCCGGUAGUCCUGGCCGUAAACGAUGGGUACUAGGUGUAGGAGGUAUCGACCCCUUCUGUGCCGGAGUUAACGCAAUAAGUACCCCGCCUGGGGAGUACGGCCGCAAGGUUGAAACUUAAAGGAAUUGACGGGG